AAUGAACGUUGGCGGCAUGGAUUAGGCAUGCAAGUCGGGGGAAUCCCAGCAAUGGGGGAACCGGCGUAAGGGGCAGUAAGGCAUGGGUACCUACCUUGGGGUUCGGGAUAGCCAUCAGAGAUGGUGGGUAAUACCGGAUGACGUCGUGAGACCAAAGAUUCAUCGCCCUUAGAGGGGCCCAUGUGAUAUUAGCUAGUUGGUGGGGUAACGGCCCACCAAGGCGAAGAUGUCUAGCGGGUGUGAGAGCACGACCCGCGCCACUCGCACUGAGACACUGGCGAGACACCUACGGGUGGCUGCAGUCGAGGAUCUUCGGCAAUGAGCGCAAGCUUGACCGAGCGAUGCCGCGUGAGCGAUGAAGGCCUUCGGGUUGUAAAGCUCUUUAGUGGGGGAGAAAAGCCGCAAGGUGUGAUCUAUCCCAAAAAUAAGCACGGGCUAAGUUCGUGCCAGCCGCCGCAGUAA
rnacentral:rRNA from 1 species